rnacentral:rRNA from 1 species
AUUGAACGCUGGCGGAAUGCUUUACACAUGCAAGUCGAACGGCAGCACGGACUUCGGUCUGGUGGCGAGUGGCGAACGGGUGAGUAAUACAUCGGAACGUGCCCAAUCGUGGGGGAUAACGUAGCGAAAGCUACGCUAAUACCGCAUACGAUCUAAGGAUGAAAGCGGGGGAUCGCAAGACCUCGCGCGAUUGGAGCGGCCGAUGGCAGAUUAGGUAGUUGGUAGGGUAAAGGCCUACCAAGACGACGAUCUGUAGCUGGUCUGAGAGGAUGAUCAGCCACACUGGGACUGAGACACGGCCCAGACUCCUACGGGAGGCAGCAGUGGGGAAUUUUGGACGAUGGACGCAAGUCUGAUCCAGCCAUUCCGCGUGCAGGAUGAAGGCCCUCGGGUUGUAAACUGCUUUUGUACAGAACGAAAAGGCUCUGGUUAAUACCUAGGGCUCAUGACGGUACUGUAAGAAUAAGCACCGGCUAACUACGUGCCAGCCGCCGCGGUAA